GGGGGUGAACAGGUUUCGACUGGAAAAUGAAGCCUUGAUGGCAUGCGGAGGACGUCAAUUGGCCUCCUUAAAAAAUUGACAAACUAUAAUUGCAAACAAGCAAUCAAAUGUUAUCGCUGUAAACUUCGGUUCACACGGUAAUCUUGCAGCUGCUGCCUAACAGUAGUAGAUGCGCGAUACGAUAAGACUGGACCAGGGGUCUUAUUAGUGUCGUUAAUUUUCUUGGUGUGAAUAGAGCCCGCUUUAGCCUUUUCAGGGAGCUAUUCGAGAUUAUGAGGAGGUUGGCUUAUUCCAUUUUGUUCUCUAUUGAAGAGUAAGUCUAUUUAAGAGGACUAAGCAUGUAGUCAUUAAGAGGGAGUUUGUUCAGGACGAGAGUUCGAUUCUCUCCACCUCCAAUU
rnacentral:tmRNA from 1 species